rnacentral:misc_RNA from 1 species
GGGAGGGUUGAGGAGACAGGGCGUCGCUUGGAAAAGUACUGCAAGCGAUUUAGUGUCCCUUUCGUAUUCAAAGCCAUCGCGAAGAAGUGGGAAAGCAUCACGCUUGAAGAGCUUGAGGUUCAAAGGGAUGAAGUGUUGGUAGUUAACAGUUUGUAUAGGCUAGGAAACAUACCUGAUGAGACAGUAGUACCAAACAGUCCAAGGGAUGCUGUCCUGAAUUUAAUCAGGAGGAUCCGUCCUGAUUUAUUCAUCCAUGGUGCGUUGAACGGUACUUUCAACACUCCAUUUUUCGUCACACGAUUCAGGGAGGCGCUUUUUCACUUCUCUUCACUGUAUGAUAUGUUUGAGGCUACUCUUCCCCGCGAGGACGAGGACAGAAAGCUAUUCGAGGAAGAGGUUUUUGCAAGAGAUGCUAUGAACGUGAUUGCUUGUGAAGGGACAGAGAGAGUUGAGAGACCUGAAACAUACAAGCAGUGGCAACUUAGAUGCGUUAGAGCUGGAUUCAAACAGGUGCCACUUGACCAGGAGAUUGUGAAGAUAGUGAGGAAUAAAGUGAGGUCGGAGUACCACAGGGACUUCUCAGUUGAUGAAGAUGGACACUGGAUGCUACAAGGAUGGAAAGGACGCGUAAUUUACGCUCUCUCUUGUUGGAAGCCUACAAAGCAGUCUGUAAAAUUAGUCUAGUUUAUCAGGCCAUUUCUUCUAUGGCUGUAUUUUCCUAUGCUAGUGGAGUUUUAUCUUUGUUUGUAGCAGCAGCAUUUUGGAAUUUAU